rnacentral:rRNA from 1 species
ACGGAGGGUGCAAGCGUUGUCCGGAAUCAUUGGGCGUAAAGAGUUCGUAGGUGGUUUGUAUAGUCUGGUGUAAAAGCCCGAAGCUCAACUUCGGUUCGGCAUCGGAUACUGCAAAACUUGAAUGUGGUAGAGGUAAAGGGAAUUCCUGGUGUAGCGGUGAAAUGCGUAGAUAUCAGGAGGAACAUCGGUGGCGAAGGCGCUUUACUGGGCCAUUAUUGACACUGAGGAACGAAAGCCGGGGUAGCAAAUGG